UAGGGAAUCUUCGGCAAUGGGGGGAACCCUGACCGAGCAACGCCGCGUGAGUGAAGAAGGUUUUCGGAUCGUAAAGCUCUGUUGUUAAGGAAGAACGAGUGUGAGAAUGGAAAGUUCAUACUGUGACGGUACUUAACCAGAAAGGGACGGCUAACUACGUGCCAGCAGCCGCGGUAAUACGUAGGUCCCGAGCGUUGUCCGGAUUUAUUGGGCGUAAAGCGAGCGCAGGCGGUUAGAUAAGUCUGAAGUUAAAGGCAGUGGCUCAACCAUUGUAGGCUUUGGAAACUGUUUAACUUGAGUGCAGAAGGGGAGAGUGGAAUUCCAUGUGUAGCGGUGAAAUGCGUAGAUAUAUGGAGGAACACCGGUGGCGAAAGCGGCUCUCUGGUCUGUAACUGACGCUGAGGCUCGAAAGCGUGGUGAGCGAACAGG
rnacentral:rRNA from 1 species